rnacentral:tRNA from 1 species
GGAGAGUGAAGGGUGCCUGGUGGCCCUCGCGAUCUUCAAAAUCGCCGUCGAUCCUCAUCGAUCGAGGUAGGUUCGAUUCCUAUCCUCUCCG